rnacentral:tRNA from 1 species
GCUCCCGUGGUCUAAUGGAUAAGGCGCCGGUCCGCUAAAUCGGAGAUCCGGGUUCGAAUCCCGGCGGGAGCA